rnacentral:tRNA from 6 species
GGUGGGGUGCCGGAGUGGAUGAACGGGACAGUCUCGAAAACUGUUGAACAUGCAAAUGUUUCGUGAGUUCGAAUCUCACUCCCACCGCCA